rnacentral:sRNA from 1 species
GAUUUCUCCGUCCUGAACGUGCAGCGGGUCUUCCUGCUCUGUUUCCCAGGCUGGAGUGCAAUGGUACCAUCAUAGCUCACUGCAGCCUUAAACUUCCAGGCUCAAGUGAUCCUCCUGCCUCAGCCUCCCAAUGCAUUGGGAUUACAGGUGUGAGUCCCUGCAUCCGGCCAGGAUGUAUGCGAGCUUUAUUUAGGUUUAGCCCCUGCCCUAGAAUGCAAGCUCCCCCAGGGAUCUUUGUCUGCCUGACUCAAUAUUUAUCUCAAGGACUUAGUGCUCAAUAUAUAUCUUUGAGUGGGUGAAAAACAAGUGGUCUUAAAAAGAAAGGAGGUGAGCCCAGAGAGAUAAGGUCGCAUUCAGUGCCUGUGCUUGGUCAGCCAUGACCCUGCACCGUGUGAGUGACACUGGGACUGGAGCAAAGGGACACAGCAGAGUUGCCCCUGGUGCCCAGGACCCAGCAGAGCUCUCGGACUGGUUGCCAGCCAGCAAUAGUGGCUAUGCCCAUGUGGGAGACACAGCUUGCCUUAGACUUCAGCAGGUUCUACCAUGUCCGGCACAGCCAUUUCCAUCCUUCCCAGGGGUGUUUACACGAUCCUGGCAGUCUCAGUCAGACUUCCAAACUCAGCAGGGAAUGUGUGUGCUUGUCCUCUAAUCUCAACAACCUGGGGUGCAGUGUCAGGUGCAAGUCAGAGAGACCACUGGAGACCCGAUUCCCAGCCCUGGGCUGGGGCCCCCACAAGGCCUGCAGCAUCUCCCCAUGGCCCAGUUUCCUCAUCUGCAGGACAGGCUCUCUGGAAAAUUUGGGGAGAUGAUAGACCCAAAAGCAUUCUGGAGCCAGAGGCUUCUGCCUUCGUCGGGGGCAUCAGGGAGUGUCAGUCAUGAAUUCACCACGACUUCUGACCACCUCUGCCUGGACUCCCUCACCUCAGCGCUGCCUAAGCUAGGUAACCACCAACUUCCUGGGCCUUCACCCCCCAGGGCCUUCCUCUCCAGUGAUGCGCCUGGAAAGAGGGAUUUCUCUUUGCAAAGGUCUCUGGAAUUGCCAAGUUAUGGCUUUAAGCAUAUGUAGGGAAACUCCCUCCCCUUUGCACUUUUAGAGUUUUUUUCCAGCCCUCAAUAGAAAUCAAUACAGUGACCAGGCUGCCCUUUUCACCACCCUCCCAGGCUCCUGAGGACCCUGGUGGAAGAUGGACGAAGCACAUCCUGGGCAUUGGGGACAGGCAUCAGCUCCUCAAGCUUGGACAGGGACAGGGACAGGGGUGGGGCAGCGCUGCAGGAGGCGGGGCCUUGGGCUGAUUUUCUUGCUGUACUACUUUCAGUCACUACGUACCUGUUAUGGGUUGAACUAGGCCUCCUGUAUUAGUCAGGGUUCUCUAGAGCGACAGAACUAAUGGAAUAUAAAUAAAUAAAUAUAUACAUGUAUAUGGAAGUUUAUUAAGUAUGAAUUUACAGGAUCACAAGGUCCACAAUAAGCAAUCUGCAGCCUGAGGAGCAAGGGGAGCCAGUGUGAGUCCCAAAAACUGAAGAACUUGGAGUCCAAUGUUCUAGGGCAGGAAGCAUCCAGCAUGGGAGAAAGAUGUAGGCUGGGAGGCUAAGCCAGCCUCUCUUUUCACAUUUUUCUGCCUGCUUUAUAUUCUAGCUGUGCUGACAGCUGAUUAGAUGGUGCCCACCUAGGCUGAAUGUGGAUCUGCCUUUCCAAGCCGCUGACUCAAAUGUUAAUCUCCUUUGGCAACACCCUCACAGACACACCCAGGAUCAGUACUUUGCAUCCUUCAACCCAAUCAAGUUGACACUCAGUAUUAACCAUUACACCCCUCAAAUGUAUAUGUUCAAAUCCUAACUCAGAACCUCUGAAUGUGACCUUAUUUGGAAAUAGGGUCUUUGCAGAUGUAAUUAAAGACGAAGUUGUUUUACAGUAGGGUGGGCCCUAAUCCAAUAUGACUGGUGUCCUUGUAAAAAAGGAAAAUUUGUUUGGUUGUUUAACUUCUAUUUUAGGUUCAGGGGUCCAUGUGCAGGUUUGUUACAUGGGUAAAUUGUGUCGUGGGAGUUUAGUGUACACAUUAUUUCAUCACUCAGGUAAUAAGCAUAGUAUCUAAUAGAUAGUUUUUUGCUCCUCUCCUUCCUCCCACCCUCUACCCUUGAGUACUCCCAGGUGUCUCUUGUUCUCUUCUUUGUGACCAUGUGUAUUUAAUGUUUAGCUCCCACUAAUAAUUGAGAACAUGUAGUAUUUGGUUUUCUGUUACUAGAUUAGUUUGCUUAGGAUUAUGGCCUCCAGUUCCAUCUAUGUUCCUGCAAAGGACAUGAUCUCAUUCUUUUUGAUGGUUGCAUAGUAUUCCAUAGUGUAUAUGUACCACUUUUUUUAUCCAGUCUACCAUUGAUGGCCAUUUAGGUUGAUUCCAUGUCUUUGCUAUUGUAAUGGUGCUGCCAUGAACAUUCGUCUGCAUGUGUCUUUAUGGUAGAAUGAUUUCUAUUCCUUUGGGUACAUAUCCAGUAAUGGGAUUGCUGGGUCGAAUGGUAAUUCUGUUUAAGUUCUUUGAGGAGUCACCACACUGCUUUCCACAUGGCUGAACUAAUUUACACUCCCACCAGCAGUGCAAAAGUGUUCCCCAAAAGGGGACAUUUGGACACAGACACGCAGAAGCCCACUCCUGCCUCCUCAGUCAGCCUGGAUUUGUCUCAGUCGCCCCCGCUCACCUCUCACACGUGUGCACCCUCACACUGCUUCAGCAUCUGCCAGUCCUCCGGCCUUUGCUCUUAGAGCAGAGAUUCUAGCCUUUCUCCAUUUGGGUUUCCCUGAGUGGUUCUGUAGUUCAUUUAUGGUGCCCGCCACCCAAAAUAAAUUCCUGGCAGUUCUGUUUACUAAUUAGGUAGGUCCAAACAACUCAGUAAUAGUAGACUGGGUGGUGUCCAACAGCUGCCUUCAUGUAUCGCUGGGAAAUCUUAAAGAUCCCAUAGUGCCCUGUGAGUUUGCUGAAAUACCCCAGAUGCACAGUUUGGGAAACAUAGUCUUACAGAUUUGAUGAAUUCCCUUUUUGCACCUGUAUAUCACUCACGGGGCUGAUCUGUAACUAGGUGUGCUAGUCCAUUCGUGUCAUGAUAGAGCUAAACCUGAGACUGAGUAACUUACAAACAAAAGAGGUUUCGCCGGGCACAGUGGCUCACGCCUGUAAUCCCAACACUUUGGGAGGCCGAGGCGGGUGGGUCACCUGAGGUCAGGAGUUCGAGACCAGCCUGACCAACAUGGAGAAACCUCAUCUCUACUAAAAAUACAAAAUUAGCUGGGCAUGGUGGUGCAUGCUUGUAAUCCCAGCUACUGGGGCAGGCAGAGGUGCUUCUCAGAUGCUUUGGGUCCUGCCAUUGAAAGGAAAGAGAAGUCCCUUCCCUGGGAGAGCCUCAGUGAUCCCUGCACAAGACCAGCCAUCUUCCUUCACCCCAUAUUGUUCAUCCCUGGCACCCUGUGUUGUGCGUGGAGUCGCUUGUUUUUCUCUAUCUUAUCAGGAACCAGUUCAAGGUUCCUAACCUGGUCUGAUCCCGGCACCCUGUCCUGCUACACAAGAAACCCUGAUGCUGAUACAUAUAUGUCUUAACAUUGCCCUUCCAGAGCCUCUCCAGCUGUGACUCACUGCUGACAGGGCAACCCCCACCCCCUGGACUCCUUGCUCAACCCACAAAGACUAUCUCUUGCGUACCCUGCUCUAAGGUGUUUUAAAAAGCACCACCAUAAAACUGUAACACAAGAACGAAACCCAACAAGAAUCAGGGGGACAGGAACCAAGGAACAUGAAAUCACGUGAGAACUAAGGGCCGCUCUGAUUGACCAUAGCAUUUGGCUCUCAGCCUCCCACGGCUGAGGCUGAGGGAGGAUAAGACAAUUGUCUCUCUCACUCUUGAAGAAGAGGGAGCUCCUGGAUUCACCAGGAGAGCAAAUUUGACUAGCUUGGACUUCUGCAAGGUAAUUUGUUGUGAUUGCAUAUUAAGGAGACUAAUCUUAACAUAAUCUUAACAUAAUUUCUUUAUAUUAAGGAGAUUAAAUAAAUCUAUGGACAUGUU